CUGUCACAACGGCUUCCUGACGUGGCGGAUGUAUUUAAUGGAGCA
rnacentral:ncRNA from 1 species